GCAGUGGUGGUUCAGUUGUAGAAUUCUCACAUUCCAUAUGGAAGACCUAGGCUCGAUUCCCAGCCAAUGCA
rnacentral:tRNA from 1 species